CAAUCACCCACACGGCUUUAACACUCUCUCUCUUAGUUUAACCGGUCAUCUGCUUGAGCCUUGAACUUAUUCAGAACUUUCUCUGUAAUUUUCUCUUCAUUUCUAUUAAUUAUAAUCAAUUCAACAAUCUCUUAUCACUUGAUUCCGUGUUGAGCCAUCUUAUAGCCUAUCUACUCGUUGCUUCUCUCCAUAAAUACAAUACCUGUAUCGGAUUAUAUUCCUCAUCGAGCUUCUUCAUCUACAGCAAACCCUACCUCUGUCUGUGACGAUCGAUCAACGUUAAUUGUGAGAACCUUGGAUUAAUUGUGAGAAGAAAUAUGAGUUCUGCAAGUAACAACAUCCAGAGCAUUAUUUGCCCUACCACUAGGCCUCCUCCAAGGACUCAGGACUCUAGUAACUCGACAAGAUCUGGCACUCAUAUCUCGACUUCCAAGGAUCACUUUUCCAAGAGUCGAUGAUGACUCUUUUCAUUCCGCUCCUUUCCCCAGAUUCAUGAAGCGUACGUUCGUCGUUGGAAAUGGAGUUAAGUGGUUCGAUGUAAAGGAGAAAUGAUUAAUGGAUGUCGUUGCAUCUGUAGGGUUCGUCAUCAUGAUAAUAUUGAUUAUGUUCUUUAUUCUUUAUUCUCUUUCUUAAAUUGUCCAUCUUUUCAUAAAGCUGCUUAAUUCUUGUAUCUGUUUUCUGUUUCCUUGUACUUUUUGUUUGCUUAUUGUAAUUAAUAAUUCAUCAUCGAAACACACUGGGAUUAUAAGUU